GGGCUUGUGGUUUAGUGGUAUAAUACUCCCUUAGCAUCAGCAUGUUGCCCUGUAUUGGGUAUCAUCAAGUGAUUGGGAGUGGUCCGGGGUUCGAUUCCCCGCGAGUCCA